UACGUAGGGGGCAAGCGUUUGUCCGGAAUUAUUGGGCGUAAAGGGUGCGUAGGCGGCGCGGUAAGUCGGGUGUGAAAUCUCGGGGCUUAACUCCGAAACUGCAUUCGAUACUGCCGUGCUUGAGGACUGGAGAGGAGACUGGAAUUUACGGUGUAGCGGUGAAAUGCGUAGAUAUCGUAAGGAAGACCAGUGGCGAAGGCGGGUCUCUGGACAGUUCCUGACGUGAGGUACGAAGGCCAGGGGAGCAAACGGG
rnacentral:rRNA from 1 species